GACGAACGCUGGCGGCGUGCUUAACACAUGCAAGUCGAACGGAAAGGCCCUGCUUUUGUGGGGUGCUCGAGUGGCGAACGGGUGAGUAACACGUGAGUAACCUGCCCUUGACUUUGGGAUAACUUCAGGAAGCUGGGGCUAAUCCCGUAUAGCAUCCCCUCCUCCAUGGUGGGGGUUGGAAAUUUUCGGCGGUUGGGGAUGAACGCGCGGCUUACGAGCUAGUUGGUGGGGUAGUGGCUUACCAAGGCUUGGACGGAUAGCCGGCCUGAGAGGGUGACCGGCCACAUGGGGACUGAGAUACGGCGCAGACGCCUACGGGAGGCAGCAGUGGGGAAUAUUGCACAAUGGGCGGAAGCCUGAGGCAGCAACGCCGCGUGCGGGAUGACGGCCUUCGGGUUGUAAACCGCUUUAGCCUGUGACGAAGCGUGAGUGACGGUAAUGGGUAAAGAAGCACCGGCUAACUACGUG
rnacentral:rRNA from 1 species